CCUACGGGAGGCAGCAGUGAGGAAUAUUGGUCAAUGGACGGAAGUCUGAACCAGCCAUGCCGCGUGCAGGAAGACGGCCCUAUGAGUUGUAAACUGCUUUUGUACAAGGGUAAACCUGAAUACGUGUAUUCAGCUGAAAGUACUGUACGAAUAAGGAUCGGCUAACUCCGUGCCAGCAGCCGAGGUAAUACGGAGGAUCCAAGCGUUAUCCGGAUUUAUUGGGUUUAAAGGGUGCGUAGGCGGAUUGAUAAGUUAGAGGUGAAAUGUCCGAGCUUAACUCGGGAACUGCCUCUAAUACUAGUGAACUAGAGAGUAGAUGCGGUAGGCGGAAUGUAUGGUAUAGCGGUGAAAUGCUUAGAGAUAAUACAGAACACCGAAUGCGAAGGCAGCUUACCAAUCUAUAUCUGACGUUGAGGGACGAAAGCGUGGGGAGCAAACAGGAUUAGAUACCCGGGUAGUC
rnacentral:rRNA from 1 species